CCUACGGGAGGCAGCAGUAGGGAAUAUUGCUCAAUGGGGGAAACCCUGAAGCAGCAACGCCGCGUGGAGGAUGAAGGUUUUCGGAUUGUAAACUCCUUUUGUUAGAGAAGAUAAUGACGGUAUCUAACGAAUAAGCACCGGCUAACUCCGUGCCAGCAGCCGCGGUAAUACGGAGGGUGCAAGCGUUACUCAGAAUCACUGGGCGUAAAGAGCGCGUAGGCGGGAUAGCAAGUCAGAUGUGAAAUCCUAGGGCUUAACCAUAGAACUGCAUUUGAAACUGUUAUUCUAGAGUAUGGGAGAGGUAGGUGGAAUUCUUGGUGUAGGGGUAAAAUCCGUAGAGAUCAAGAGGAAUACUCAUUGCGAAGGCGACCUGCUAGAACAUAACUGACGCUGAUGCGCGAAAGCGUGGGGAGCAAACAGGAUUAGAUACCCGUGUAGUC
rnacentral:rRNA from 1 species